rnacentral:rRNA from 1 species
UACGAAGGGUGCAAGCGUUACUCGGAAUUACUGGGCGUAAAGCGUGCGUAGGUGGUUCGUUAAGUCUGAUGUGAAAGCCCUGGGCUCAACCUGGGAAUGGCAUUGGAAACUGGCGACCUAGAGUGCGGUAGAGGGUAGUGGAAUUCCCGGUGUAGCAGUGAAAUGCGUAGAGAUCGGGAGGAACAUCUGUGGCGAAGGCGACUACCUGGCCUGUUCUUGACGCUGAGGCGCGAAAGCUAGGGGAGCAAACGGG